CCCCGCCGCAGCCACUUCCGGCAGGCGCUGCGCUGCUGGGGGGCGCGGGCGAGGAUGGCGGCGGAGAACGAGGCCAGCCAGGAGAGCGCCCUGGGCGCCUACUCGCCAGUGGACUACAUGAGCAUCACCAGCUUCCCGCGGCUGCCCGAGGACGAGCCCGCGCCCGCGGCCCCGCUGAGGGGCCGCAAGGACGAGGACGCCUUUCUGGGAGACCCCGACACCGACCCGGACUCCUUCCUGAAGUCUGCACGGCUGCAGCGGCUGCCAUCGUCGUCGUCGGAGAUGGGCAGCCAAGACGGGUCGCCGCUACGCGAGACACGCAAAGACCCGUUCUCCGCCGCAGCGGCGGAGUGCUCCUGCCGCCAGGAUGGGCUCACGGUCAUCGUCACGGCCUGUCUCACCUUCGCUACCGGUGUCACCGUGGCGCUGGUCAUGCAGAUCUACUUCGGGGACCCCCAGAUCUUCCAGCAGGGUGCCGUGGUGACCGAUGCUGCCCGCUGCACUUCACUGGGCAUCGAGGUGCUCAGUAAACAGGGAUCUUCUGUGGACGCAGCGGUGGCAGCAGCCUUGUGUUUGGGUAUCGUGGCUCCACACAGUUCUGGCCUGGGCGGUGGGGGCGUGAUGCUGGUACAUGACAUCCGACGAAAUGAGAGCCACCUAAUUGAUUUCCGGGAGUCCGCACCAGGGGCCCUCAGGGAAGAGACCCUGCAAAGAUCCUGGGAGACCAAGCCUGGGCUCUUGGUGGGGGUUCCCGGAAUGGUGAAGGGGCUACAUGAAGCUCACCAGCUCUAUGGCAGGCUGCCAUGGUCCCAAGUCCUGGCCUUCGCAGCAGCUGUGGCCCAAGAUGGCUUCAACGUGACUCAUGAUCUAGCCCGUGCCCUGGCUGAACAGCUGCCACCCAACAUGUCCGAGCGCUUCCGGGAGACGUUCCUGCCAUCGGGCCGCCCGCCACUACCUGGCUCAUUGCUGCAUCGGCCCGACCUGGCUGAGGUGCUGGAUGUACUUGGCACCUCCGGCCCGGCUGCCUUCUACGCAGGUGGCAACCUCACACUGGAGAUGGUGGCCGAGGCUCAGCACGCAGGGGGUGUCAUAACCGAAGAGGACUUCAGCAAUUACAGCGCCCUUGUGGAGAAGCCUGUGUGUGGCGUGUACAGAGGCCACCUGGUUCUUAGUCCCCCGCCUCCGCACACGGGCCCUGCCCUCAUCAGUGCUCUCAACAUCCUGGAGGGCUUCAAUCUCACCAGCCUGGUAUCCCGAGAACAGGCUCUUCACUGGGUGGCAGAGACCCUGAAGAUUGCAUUAGCCCUGGCCAGCAGACUGGGAGAUCCCGUCUAUGAUUCUACCAUCACUGAGAGCAUGGAUGACAUGCUCAGCAAGGUGGAGGCCGCCUACCUCCGGGGCCAUAUCAAUGACUCCCAGGCAGCCCCUGCCCCACUCCUGCCUGUCUAUGAACUAGACGGAGCUCCCACGGCUGCCCAGGUGCUGAUCAUGGGACCUGAUGACUUCAUUGUGGCCAUGGUUAGCUCCCUGAACCAGCCCUUUGGCAGCGGCCUUAUCACCCCCUCGGGGAUCCUGCUUAACAGCCAGAUGCUGGACUUCUCCUGGCCCAACCGGACAGCUAACCACUCUGCACCCAGCCUGAAUCUUCUAGUAUAAGGAAGCCUAAAGAAGAUGUUCACCUCAUCCCUAGCCCUGCUAAGUCUGGGACAUGGAGCCUGCUGGGUCUGAAGAACCCUUGUCCCAUUCUGUCACUGUCUUACUGUGUGACCUUGUGAAGAUCUUGCCCUCUCUGGGCAAUUUCUUCACCUGUACAAUGAGGGUUUUGGCUCCUAUUUGAUGUUUUGGGCAUUUUCCAGCACUAGCGGUCUGUGACUAUGUGAGCUUGAGCUGAUGGGGCUCAGCCCUAUGGUUGGGCACCAAAGAGGGACCCAAGGAGGAAGGAUUUAAUAAUUUUUAUCUAGUUAAAAAUCAGCACUCUUACACCCCGCCAUCUGGGGCCCCAGCAGGGCAAAGACACGUAGAGAUGAUCAGGGUGGGGUUAUCCUGUUCUUCCCCAUUGCCAUCUUUCUUGGCUUGGUCCUUUCUCCUGUGACCCGUAGCAGCCUCAUAGCUCAGUGGAUGUACUUAUCACUCCCCCAUCCACCCCACCCAUCCAGGCACCCUACCCAUUUCACAGAUAGCAAACUGUUGUCUGGGAAGGGACCAGUCUCCCAGGAAAACUGGGCCUGUGGAAGAUGUAGAAGAGGGAGAGCAGUUGGAAGGGUUGUGGAGGGGCCCUUUCCCGGUCUUGUCCCACCCCACCUGCCCCUUGUGGUCUCUGUCCUCUAACAACAGGAGAAUUCAGUGCAGCCAGGGAAGCGGCCACUCUCUUUCCUGCUGCCCACAGUGGUCCGACCUGCGGAGGGGCUCUGUGGAACCUACCUCGCUCUGGGGGCCAAUGGAGCUGCGCGGGGCCUCAGCGGCCUGACACAGGUUCUGCUGAAUGUCCUGACCUUGAACCGGAACCUGAGUGACAGCCUGGCCCGCGGCCGCCUACACCCGGACCUGCAGUCCAACCUCCUGCAGGUGGACAGUGAGUUCACAGAGGAAGAGAUUGAGUUCCUGGAAGCCAGGGGUCACCACGUGGAGAAAGUAGAUGUCUUAUCCUGGGUCCAUGGCAGCCGAAGGACCAACAACUUCAUCAUCGCUGUUAAGGACCCUCGGAGCCCAGAUGCAGCUGGAGCCACCAUCCUGUAGAGCAGCGGGGUGGGGCGGGGUCUCUGCUCCCCCACUUUGCAUGUUCCCAGAGUCCCUCCUUCUCCCAGGUUUGGUCUCAGGGGGACCCCAGGGAUGCCCCAGAUCAGGGGCCAGAGGGGAUGCUUAGCAAACCCAAUCCCAGAGUAACUGGAAAAUUCUCCAUCAGGAGGCCUGUGGUGGUGGUGGUGGUGGUGGUGGUGGUGGUGGUGGUGAGUGUCAGCAUCUACAGCCAGGCAGGCAGGACCUUGAGGAAUCAGACUAUCUGUCUGUGUGUCACCUCUCCUCCUUCAGCCAUGCUGGCCCCGAGCUUAGGGAUGUGCUUGCAAACCCUUCUCAAGGGUCUCACAACCCCAACAUCUUCAGACUGGCCUGACCUGGGCCUUGUCUUCCAGUUCCUUUCUCCCAUUCCCAGCCUCAUUUCUUAAAUGACUAGGAAUUUUUUAAUGGACCAUCAUAGGGAGGGGGUGCUCCUCUUUUCCCACCAGGUUGAGGUGGGGGCCUUGCAUCGGGGGUCCCCAGGGUAUGGGGUAGGGGUGGGGGUGGGGACCAGCUCAGGGGCUUCCAUUUGCAAAGGGGAAUUAAAGAAAGAAUGUUGCUUAA